AGCGAAUUGCAUGGUUGUUGUUUCUACUCGAUGGAUUCGCAGAUUAUUCGGAAAUAGAUCAGAUUGGGAUCAAUAACUUUAUUGCAUACGAUCAUUUACAUGUAUUACCAGAUGUGUGUUGCCAGUAAUGGUUGAAGAUAUGCCAAACAAAUUGUGCCUCUCUAUACAGACAGAUUUCAGGUCUCAAUUUCAACUUCAAAGGUCAACAUAUCACUGAUAUCAGGAAUUCUGUGAAACUGUGGCACCAUGUAUGGUACGUGAGCGCACAAUGUCUGUUGGAAAAAAGGAUAUUGGAAUAAGCAAAGGGACACAACAUUACACAGUUAUUUCAACAUGUAGAGUCUUGUCAGCAAUAAUGGAGCAGUACAUCAGAUUUCCAGAAUCUCGUCAUGAGCUGAAGAUCAUUGCCUAUGGAUUUCAUGAAUGAUGUAGAAUGAUUGGACUGUUGAUAGAACCCACAGUGCAUGUCCUGCUUCAACAUCUGAGCAUAGGUCCUUGUUUAUCAGCAGUUUAGUUCUUCAAGCAGUCUGUGACAGUAACUUGAAAUGUUUGGACAUAUGCCCUGGAUGGCCAAGUUCUGUGCAUGAUGCCCAUUUAAAUAGGAACGGCCCAGUGGCGCAUUAAAUGGACAAUUUUUAGCAUAGGUGCGUUUACGCACCUAUGCUUAUGGUAUAUACCACAUUUCGAAAAUCCACAUCGGUCGGCUGCCCUUUAUGAAGCCUUACCUGAUCAAAAAUCAGACGAAAUAUCUAUUU